AGUGGCGGACGGGUGAGUAACGCGUGAGAAUCUGCCUUGGGGUCGGGGACAACCACUGGAAACGGUGGCUAAUACCGGAUACGCCUUCGGGUAAAAGAUUUAUUGCCCUAAGAGGAGCUCGCGUCUGAUUAGCUAGUUGGUGAGGUAAGAGCUCACCAAGGCAGCGAUCAGUAGCUGGUCUGAGAGGACGAUCAGCCACACUGGGACUGAGACACGGCCCAGACUCCUACGGGAGGCAGCAGUGGGGAAUUUUCCGCAAUGGGCGAAAGCCUGACGGAGCAAGACCGCGUGAGGGAGGAAGGCUCUUGGGUUGUAAACCUCUUUUCUCAGGGAAGAAGCUCUGACGGUACCUGAGGAAUCAGCCUCGGCUAACUCCGUGCCAGCAGCCGCGGUAAUACGGAGGAGGCAAGCGUUAUCCGGAAUUAUUGGGCGUAAAGCGUCCGCAGGUGGCGAUUCAAGUCUGCUGUCAAAGCACGGGGCUUAACUCCGUAAAGGCAGUGGAAACUGAAUAGCUAGAGUGCCGUAGGGGUAGAGGGAAUUCCCGGUGUAGCGGUGAAAUGCGUAGAGAUCGGGAAGAACAUCGGUGGCGAAAGCGCUCUACUGGACGGCAACUGACACUCAGGGACGAAAGCUAGGGAGCGAAUGGGAUUAGAUACCCC
rnacentral:rRNA from 1 species